AAAAGUCUUAUGUACCUCAUGUGAGCCCAGAAAACAUUCAAGACAUUCUGGACAAAUUCAAUCCUGCCAAUGCAAGAUCAGGGACUGUCACUAGAGCUGAAAAUCUACAUCUGACUACUCUAUCAUUGGACAAGAAGACUGCAGAGGCUUUUACUCCUCAUGGUUUUGCCUAUAACCCCAUGGAUGAAGAUCAUGCUGAAUUUCUCAGAUGGCAAUCAGCUUAUAAAGAAGAAGUUGAUGCAAAGACCAAUGACAGGGAACAUGAUGUCUUCAUGGUAAAGAGGCCAUCUGUAGUUUCCAUGUAUGAUAUUUCACAUGGCUUGGCUGAUAUGGAGGAUGAUAAAAAAAGAAACCAAAGAAAUGUAACACAUAUCAAAAUAUUGCAAGCAAAAGACUGAUGGUGGGACAUUGUAGAGACAAGGUGCAUCAGUGGUCUAUUGUGCACCGCAGUCGUCAAUAUUUAUAUACAUUUUGAAUUAAUAUAUUUUUUAUGAUUAAGGACUAACAGGAAAUCAGAAUAGUUAGAAUAUUAGAGGGAUCUUUUAGAGUGCUUUAAUCAUGAAAACUGUAUAUCUUUGAGAAUAAUCAUUACACAGAAGUGUCAGGAGAGGAAAAUGGAGAAUUGAAUGUUGUUACUGAUGUAACCUAUAAAUAAAUGCCAAAAAAAUAUGACAUACACAUAUAAUAAAUUUCUUUCUUUGUAA